AUUGAACGCUGGCGGCAUGCCUUACACAUGCAAGUCGAACGGCAGCGCGGGGCAACCUGGCGGCGAGUGGCGAACGGGUGAGUAAUAUAUCGGAACAUACCCUAGAGUGGGGGAUAACGUAGCGAAAGUUACGCUAAUACCGCAUACGCACUAAGGUGGAAAGUGGGGGAUCUUCGGACCUCAUGCUCAUGGAGUGGCCGAUAUCUGAUUAGCUAGUUGGUGAGGUAAAGGCUCACCAAGGCGACGAUCAGUAGCUGGUUUGAGAGAACGACCAGCCACACUGGAACUGAGACACGGUCCAGACCCCCUACGGGAGGCAGCAGUAGGGAAUAUUGGUCAAUGGAUGCAAGUCUGAACCAGCCAUGCCGCGUGCAGGAAGAAGGCCUUCUGGGUUGUAACUGCUUUGCCAGGGGAUAAAAUUCCAUGCGUGGAAACUGAAGGUACCUGGUGAAUAAGCCACGGCUAACUACGUGCCAGCAGCCGCGGUAA
rnacentral:rRNA from 1 species